rnacentral:rRNA from 1 species
AUUGAACGCUGGCGGCAUGCUUUACACAUGCAAGUCGAACGGUAACAGGCCUUCGGGUGCUGACGAGUGGCGAACGGGUGAGUAAUGCAUCGGAACGUGCCCAAUCGUGGGGGAUAACGUAGCGAAAGUUACGCUAAUACCGCAUAAGCCCUGAGGGGGAAAGCAGGGGAUCGCAAGACCUUGCGCGAAUGGAGCGGCCGAUGUCAGAUUAGCUAGUUGGUGGGGUAAAGGCCUACCAAGGCGACGAUCUGUAGCGGGUCUGAGAGGAUGAUCCGCCACACUGGGACUGAGACACGGCCCAGACUCCUACGGGAGGCAGCAGUGGGGAAUUUUGGACAAUGGGCGCAAGCCUGAUCCAGCCAUGCCGCGUGCGGGACGAAGGCCUUC